rnacentral:rRNA from 1 species
UAGGUUAACGAGGCGAACCGGGGGAACUGAAACAUCUAAGUACCCCGAGGAAAAGAAAUCAACCGAGAUUCCCCCAGUAGCGGCGAGCGAACGGGGAGCAGCCCAGAGUCUGAAUCAGCUUGUGUGUUAGUGGAACGGUCUGGAAAGUCCGACGGUACAGGGUGAUAGUCCCGUACACCAAAAUGCACAGGCUGUGAACUCGAAGAGUAGGGCGGGACACGUGGUAUCCUGUCUGAAUAUGGGGGGACCAUCCUCCAAGGCUAAAUACUCCUGACUGACCGAUAGUGAACCAGUACCGUGAGGGAAAGGCGAAAAGAACCCCGGCGAGGGGAGUGAAAAAGAACCUGAAACCGUGUACGUACAAGCAGUGGGAGCACCUUCGGGUGUGACUGCGUACCUUUUGUAUAAUGGGUCAGCGACUUAU